GUGGGGAAUUUUGGACAAUGGGCGCAAGCCUGAUCCAGCAAUGCCGCGUGCAGGAAGAAGGCCCUCAGGGUUGUAAACUGCUUUUGUACGGAACGAAAAGGCUCUGGUUAAUACCUGGGGCUCAUGACGGUACCGUAAGAAUAAGCACCGGCUAACUACGUGCCAGCAGCCGCGGUAAUACGUAGGGUGCAAGCGUUAAUCGGAAUUACUGGGCGUAAAGCGUGCGCAGGCGGUUUUGUAAGACAGACGUGAAAUCCCCGGGCUCAACCUGGGAAUGGCGUGUGUGACUGCAAAGCUGGAGUGCGGCAGAGGGGGAUGGAAUUCCGCGUGUAGCAGUGAAAUGCGUAGAUAUGCGGAGGAACACCGAUGGCGAAGGCAAUCCCCUGGGCCUGCACUGACGCUCAUGCACGAAAGCGUGGGGAGCAAACAGGAUUAGAUACCCGAGUAGUCC
rnacentral:rRNA from 1 species